rnacentral:rRNA from 1 species
CAGUCGAACGAUGAAGUCCUAGCUUGCUAGGAUGGAUUAGUGGCGCACGGGUGAGUAAUAUAUAGUUAAUCUGCCCUACACAGAGGAACAACAGUUGGAAACGACUGCUAAUACCUCAUACUCCUAUUUGGCAUAAGUUAAAUAGGGAAAGUCUUUUCGGUGUAGGAUGAGACUAUAUCGUAUCAGCUAGUUGGUAAGGUAAUGGCUUACCAAGGCUAUGACGCGUAACUGGUCUGAGAGGACGAUCAGUCACAUUGGAACUGAGACACGGUCCAAACUCCUACGGGAGGCAGCAGUAAGGAAUAUUGCGCAAUGGGGGAAACCCUGACGCAGCAACGCCGCGUGGAGGAUGACACUUUUCGGAGCGUAAACUCCUUUUAUCAGGAAAGAAUAAUGACGGUACCUGAUGAAUAAGCACCGGCUAACUCCGUGCCAGCAGCCGCGGUAAUACGGGGGGUGCAAGCGUUACUCGGAAUCACUGGGCGUAAAGGACGCGUAGGCGGAUUAUCAAGUCUUUUGUGAAAUCUAGUGGCUUAACCACUAAACUGCUUAGGAAACUGAUAGUCUAGAGUAGGGGAGAGGUAGAUGGAAUUCUUGGUGUAGGGGUAAAAUCCGUAGAGAUCAAGAAGAAUACCCAUUACGAAAGCGAUCUGCUGGAACCUAACUGACGCUGAGGCGUGAAAGCGUGGGUAGCAAACAGGAUUAGAUACCCUGGUAGUCCACGCCCUAAACGAUGUAUACUAGUUGUUGCUUUGCUAGUCAAGGCAGUAAUGCAGCUAACGCAUUAAGUAUACCGCCUGGGGAGUACGGUCGCAAGAUUAAAACUCAAAGGAAUAGACGGGGACCCGCACAAGCGGU